rnacentral:rRNA from 1 species
AAGAGAGAGACAUGCGCGCAUAUCAAUAAGCGGAGGAAAAGAAACUAACAAGGAUUCCCUUAGUAACGGCGAGUGAAGCGGGAAGAGCUCAAAUUUGAAAUCCUCAAGGUUUUACCUUGACGAAUUGUAGUUUAAAGAAGUGUUUUCUGCUGAAGUUUUGGUAAAAGUUCUUUGGAAUAGGACAUCAUAGAGGGUGAGAAUCCCGUAUUUGACCAUUAUUUUCAGCUUUGUGAUACACUUUCAAAGAGUCGGAUUGUUUGGGAAUGCAGUCCAAAAUGGGUGGUAAAUUUCAUCUAAAGCUAAAUAUUGGCGAGAGACCGAUAGCGAACAAGUACCGUGAGGGAAAGAUGAAAAGAACUUUGAAAAGAGAGUUAAACAGUACGUGAAAUUGUCAAAAGGGAAGCGUUUGACACCAGUGUUGUUUUCUCGAAAAUCAAUUAAAAAUGGCUCGAUUUUGUAUUGCUUGAGACCUUAAAAGCUCACUGUACAUUUUUCGUGUCUUUUUUAAUGCACUUUUCGUUUAACAAGUCAACAUCAGUUUCUUUUGUUGUAAAAGGGUCAUUGGAAGGUGGCUUUCUUUUCGGAGAAAGUGUUUAUAGCCUUUGGCCUCUGCAAUCGGAGAGACUGAGGUCUGCAGCGUAGACUCUUCGGGGUUAGAUACAUUUGUGCUAAGUUAUAGCUUUUUAUAGACAACUUGUUGACUAUAAUUAGUCUUGUAGCUUACUCGCUUAUGCUAUUUUACCUACGCUUAGGAUGUUGAAGAUGUAGCACAUCAU